AAGGGUGAGUAAGGCGACGGUAAUCAACCCCAUGGUUGGGUAUAGCCGCGGGAAACUGCGGGUAAUCCCCAGCGACGUCCGGAUCGGGCAUCCGAAUCGGACCAAAGUCCUGGCGCCGUGGGACGAGCCGUCGUGGUAUUAGGUCGUUGGCGGGGUAAUGGCCCACCAAGCCUAUGAUGCCUACCGGGCGUGCGAGCGUGGCCCGGCACACUGGGACUGAGACACUGCCCAGUCCUCCUACGGGAGGCUGCAGUCGAGAAUCUUCGGCAAUGGGCGCAAGCCUGACCGAGCGACGCCGCGUGGAGGAUGAAGACCUUCGGGUUGUCAACUCCUGUCGAGGGGGAAUCAAGGUCGGGUAACCGGCUUGACCGAUCCCUGGAGGAAGCACGGGCUCAGUUCGUG
rnacentral:rRNA from 1 species